rnacentral:rRNA from 1 species
UCCAGAGGGUGCAAGCGUUAAUCGGAAUUACUGGGCGUAAAGCGUGCGUAGACGGUUGCGUAAGUCAGAUGUGAAAGCCCCGGGCUCAACCUGGGAAUUGCAUUUGAGACUGCGUAGCUAGGGUGCGGAAGAGGGAAGCGGAAUUUCCGGUGUAGCGGUGAAAUGCGUAGAUAUCUGGAGGAACACCGGUGGCGAAGGCGGCAUCCUGGACCGAUAUUGACGCUGAUGCGCGAAAGCCAGGGGAGCAAACGGG